rnacentral:rRNA from 1 species
GACGAACGCUGGCGGCGUGCCUAAUACAUGCAAGUCGAACGCAGUGGGGUCGGGUGAGUAACACGUGGGUAACCUCCCAUCAGAGGGGAUAACACUUGGAAACAGGUGCUAAACCGAUCUUGAUUGAUGGACUCGCGGUGCAUUAGCUCGUUGGUGAGGUAACGGCUCACCACGGCCACGAUGCAUAGCCGACCUGAGAGGGGGAGCGGCCACACUGGGACUGAAACACGGCCCAGACUCCUACGGGAGGCAGCAGUAGGGUAUCUUCGGCAAUUGACGAAAGUCUGACCGCGCAACGCCGCGUGAGUGAAGAAGGUAUUCGGAUCGUAAAACUCUGUUGUUAGAGAAGCGGUAUCUAACCAGAAAGCCACGGCUAACUACGUGCCAGCAGCCGCGGUAAUAC